rnacentral:ncRNA from 1 species
CCUUGACAUACAAGGCGGCGGCUAUGCGUGAGAGUUAGGCUCACGGUUCGGGCUAGUGAAUACCCGUAGCAG